rnacentral:rRNA from 1 species
GUGCCAGCAGCCGCGGUAAUACCGGCAGCUCGAGUGAUGGCCACUCUUAUUGGGCCUAAAGCGUCCGUAGCUGGCCGCGCAAGUCCGUCGGGAAAUCCAUCAACCCAACUGAUGGGCGUCCGGCGGAAACUGCACAGCUUGGGACCGGAAGGCUCGAAGGGUACGUGCGGGGUAGGAGUGAAAUCCUAUAAUCCCGCACGGACCACCGAUGGCGAAAGCACUUCGAGAAAACGGAUCCGGCAGUGAGGGACGAAAGCCAGGGUCUCGAACCGGAUUAGAAACCCGGGUAGUCC